rnacentral:rRNA from 1 species
UUGAACGCUGGCGGCAUGCCUUACACAUGCAAGUCGAACGGCAGCACGGGAGCAAUCCUGGUGGCGAGUGGCGAGCGGGUGAGUAAUAUAUCGGAACGUGCCCAGUCGUGGGGGAUAACGUAGAGAAAUUUACGCUAAUACCGCAUACGUCCUGAGGGAGAAAGCGGGGGACCGUAAGGCCUCGCGCGAUUGGAGCGGCCGAUGUCGGAUUAGCUAGUUGGUGGGGUAAAGGCCUACCAAGGCGACGAUCCGUAGCGGGUCUGAGAGGAUGAUCCGCCACACUGGGACUGAGACACGGCCCAGACUCCUACGGGAGGCAGCAGUGGGGAAUUUUGGACAAUGGGGGCAACCCUGAUCCAGCCAUGCCGCGUGAGUGAAGAAGGCCUUCGGGUUGUAAAGCUCUUUCAGACGGAAAGAAAACGCAUCGGUGAAUACCCGGUGUGGAUGACGGUACCGUAAGAAGAAGCACCGGCUAACUACGU